GAGCUGAAGUUAAAUCCUGAUGGACAGACUCUGGAAAGAUUACAACAUAAACGAAAGAUGGAUCUUUCUGGACCAGAGCCAAAGAGAUGCUGCUCUCAGUUUGCUCCGGUUGCUGCCGGUGUCAGACGCCCUCCUUAUUGACUUCUGCAGUGAUAAAACACAAGACAAGAUCAUCCAUCUACUAAGCGCUUCAGACACUCACACAAAGCGCUGAACAGCCUUUUUUUCCUGACCGACGACCUUUUUUGGAGAAUUUUAAUCUGUUCUGAGUUUUAUGGGAUAACUAGGGCAGCAGAUACAGUUUAUGCUUUUUGAAAAUCUUUUACACUGGAUGCUGUUUUUUAAGUGUUGCACAAUUUAAAAAAAAAUCAACUUUUGUAUUUACAUUUUUUUAAGAUCAGCACCUUGUUGCAGAUGGAUCAAUGUUAUCUAUAUUCACAGAGUUAGUCUUACCUUUUGGAAAGUAAAAGUUAUAUAUUUUAAUCAUAUUUUUAAUCAAGGAUGUAUGAAUACAUGGUUACUCGGGGUGAACUUUUUUUUAUCAGGAUGCUCUAGUGUGCUAAAUCUUUAGCAUAUGUGGGAUUUUUACUCAUGUCAAA